rnacentral:rRNA from 2 species
CUUCGGAAUGAAAAUAGUUGGAUUAGUGGCGGACGGGUGAGUAACACGUGAGUAACCUGCCUUACACAAGGGGAUAGCCGUUGGAAACGACGAAUAAUACCCUAUGAAACUAUCACUUCGCAUGAAGCGAUAGUCAAAGUGUUAGCGGUGUAAGAUGGACUUGCGUCUGAUUAGCUAGUUGGUGAGAAAAAAGCCCACCAAGGCAACGAUCAGUAGCCGGCUUGAGAGAGUGUACGGCCACAUUGGGAUUGAGACACGGCCCAGACUCCUACGGGAGGCAGCAGUGGGGAAUUUUGCACAAUGGGGGAAACCCUGAUGCAGCGACGCCGCGUGAUUUAGAAGGCCUUCGGGUUGUAAAAAUCUUUUGUAUAGGAAGAAAAUGACAGUACUAUACGAAUAAGGUCCGGCUAAUUACGUGCCAGCAGCCGCGGUAAUACGUAAGGACCGAGCGUUGUCCGGAAUCAUUGGGCGUAAAGGGUACGUAGGCGGGUCAUUAAGUUAGAAGUCAAAGGCUAUAGCUCAACUAUAGUAAGCUUCUAAAACUGGAGACCUUGAGUAAUGGAAGGGAAAGUGGAAUUCCUAGUGUAGCGGUGGAAUGCGCAGAUAUUAGGAGGAAUACCGGUGGCGAAGGCGACUUUCU